rnacentral:rRNA from 1 species
CGCUGAAGCCUGGUGCUUGCACCGGGUGGAUGAGUGGCGAACGGGUGAGUAACACGUGAGUAACCUGCCCCUGACUUCGGGAUAAGCCCGGGAAACUGGGUCUAAUACCGGAUACGACCGUCGGACGCAUGUCUGGUGGUGGAAAGUUUUUUCGGUUGGGGAUGGGCUCGCGGCCUAUCAGUUUGUUGGUGAGGUAAUGGCUCACCAAGACGACGACGGGUAGCCGGCCUGAGAGGGCGACCGGCCACACUGGGACUGAGACACGGCCCAGACUCCUACGGGAGGCAGCAGUGGGGAAUAUUGCACAAUGGGGGAAACCCUGAUGCAGCGACGCAGCGUGCGGGAUGACGGCCUUCGGGUUGUAAACCGCUUUCAGCAGGGAAGAAGCGCAAGUGACGGUACCUGCAGAAGAAGUACCGGCUAACUACGUGCCAGCAGCCGCGGUAAUACGUAGGGUACGAGCGUUGUCCGGAAUUAUUGGGCGUAAAGAGCUCGUAGGUGGUUGGUCACGUCUGCUGUGGAAACGCAACGCUUAACGUUGCGCGUGCAGUGGGUACGGGCUGACUAGAGUGCAGUAGGGGAGUCUGGAAUUCCUGGUGUAGCGGUGAAAUGCGCAGAUAUCACGAGGAACACCGGUGGCGAAGGCGGGACUCUGGGCUGUAACUGACACUGAGGAGCGAAAGCAUGGGGAGCGAACAGGAUUAGAUACCCUGGUAGUCCAUGCCGUAAACGUUGGGCACUAGGUGUGGGGGGCAUUCCACGUUCUCCGCGCCGUAGCUAACGCAUUAAGUGCCCCGCCUGGGGAGUACGGUCGCAAGGCUAAAACUCAAAGGAAUUGACGGGGG